CUAAGUCCGUAACUUUAAAAAGUUGUAAUAGUUGGAUCGUUGACUCGAGCUGCUAGAAAGAUAUAAUCAAUUCAUUUAGAUCGUACAAAUAUAGCGUUCAUAAAUUUGAAUUGUGAUUCGGUCGAAUCAGUCUCACGCCACUUCGAACAUCACUCGGCACAACCCGACCUCCCGCCACAGGAGAAGAUGUUAUCCAUUUGAGCGAACAAUCUCUCCCAGUACUUGUACAAAUUUAUAGUUACUGGUCGGAUCAUUGACUCUAACCAUAAUCUCAAAAACUCGAGAUGUCAGAACGAUGUAACGAAUUCAUUUAAAGCGUAGAGAAAUAGCAUUCACAGAUCUCGCUUGUGAUUCGACCCAACCAGUCUCGCACCAUUUCAAACAAAACUCGAUCCAACCCGACCUUCUGUCAUUUGAAACAUAAUUCAGCCCAACCUAUUCUCUCAUCACAAAAAAAAUACUACUGGUUCCUUUAAGCUCAUAGUAAAACACUAUUCGACUCUUUAUCCAAUGGACUGAAGGGUUGUCCGAUCCUACUUGAUUUUUAGCAAUACGGAAAAAAAAGAAAAGAAAAAGGAAGUGACAAAAUUAGUAGAGAGAAGAUGACACUUCGAGUUAGACUUAGUUUGGAAUUGUGAAAAAAUUGCGUUACAUGCAGUGAGAAAGAACGAAGAAAAAUAUCUUAUUUGUUUUCGUACGUAAUAUUGCGUUUCGAUAUAUUUUCUACGGUUCCAUCGGAGAACGCAGAAGCAUAGCUUUAUAUAUUUUUACCUCAACUCUAUUUUAUCUAAUAGCGUUAGAUAAAUUUCAAUACCAAACUAAGCCUCAGUAUAAUUUGUAAGAUUACAAUACAAAAUCGGACUGCAAUUUAAAAUUGAUUG
rnacentral:lncRNA from 1 species